GUAGGGUGCGAGCGUUGUCCGGAAUUACUGGGCGUAAAGAGCUCGUAGGUGGUUUGUCGCGUUGUUCGUGAAAUCUCACGGCUUAACUGUGAGCGUGCGGGCGAUACGGGCAGACUUGAGUACUGCAGGGGAGACUGGAAUUCCUGGUGUAGCGGUGGAAUGCGCAGAUAUCAGGAGGAACACCGGUGGCGAAGGCGGGUCUCUGGGCAGUAACUGACGCUGAGGAGCGAAAGCGUGGGGAGCGAACAGGAUUAGAUACCCUGGUAGUCCACGCCGUAAACGGUGGGUACUAGGUGUGGGUUUCCUUCCUUGGGAUCCGUGCCGUAGCUAACGCAUUAAGUACCCCGCCUGGGGAGUACGGCCGCAAGGCUAAAACUCAAAGAAAUUGACGGGGGCCCGCACAAGCGGCGGAGCAUGUGGAUUAAUUCGAUGCAACGCGAAGAACCUUACCUGGGUUUGACAUGCACAGGACGCCGGCAGAGAUGUCGGUUCCCUUGUGGCCUGUGUGCAGGUGGUGCAUGGCUGUCGUCAGCUCGUGUCGUGAGAUGUUGGGUUAAGUCCCGCAACGAGCGCAACCCUUGUCUCAUGUUGCCAGCGGGUAAUGCCGGGGACUCGUGAGAGACUGCCGGGGUCAACUCGGAGGAAGGUGGGGAUGACGUCAAGUCAUCAUGCCUCUUAUGUCCAGGGCUUCACACAUGCUACAAUGGCCGGUACAAAGGGCUGCGAUGCCGCGAGGUUAAGCGAAUCCUUUUAAAGCCGGUCUCAGUUCGGAUCGGGGUCUGCAACUCGACCCCGUGAAGUCGGAGUCGCUAGUAAUCGCAGA
rnacentral:rRNA from 1 species